GACGAACGCUGGCGGCGUGCUUAACACAUGCAAGUCGAACGGAAAGGCCCUGCUUUUGUGGGGUGCUCGAGUGGCGAACGGGUGAGUAACACGUGAGUAACCUGCCCUUGACUUUGGGAUAACUUCAGGAAACUGGGGCUAAUACCGGCAAGGAGCUCCUGCUGCAUGGUGGGGGUUGGAAAGUUUCGGCGGUUGGGGAUGGACUCGCGGCUUAUCAGCUUGUUGGUGGGGUAGUGGCUUACGAAGGCUUUGACGGGUAGCCGGCCUGGGAGGGUGACCGGCCACAUUGGGACGGAGAUACGGCCCAGACUCCUACGGGAGGCAGCAGUGGGGAAUAUUGCACAAUGGGCGGAAGCCUGAUGCAGCAACGCCGCGUGCGGGAUGACGGCCUUCGGGUUGUAAACCGCUUUCGCCUGUGACGAAGCGUGAGUGACGGUAAUGGGUAAAGAAGCACCGGCUAACUACGUG
rnacentral:rRNA from 1 species